AUGGAAAUCAGAUCUCCAGCUAUCGACACAGAAGUCAGAGUGGAAACCUGUGGUAUCCUGCCUGCAGAGAGGAGAACCAGAGCCCCCCUUCUUCCUGGGACUCCUCCUGCCUGUGUGCCGGUGGUUGCAGAAAAACCUGACAGCAUUGAGGUGCCUGGAAUGACCCUACACAAUCGGAAGACGUUAGAUCAUAGGAGAAUGAAUAGUAACCCCUAUUUAGCUUCCGCUAUCGCCCGUGUCUGAAGAGUUGUAUUGUAGGUGCAUUUCAGGUAAGAGUGGACAGCAGGGCAGCAUCUCUGCCUGGAGAGGGGCCGGAGGAAGGAGACGGCCCACCGGGAGCAGGAGAUUUACAGUCUGAAGGAAGGUCAAACUCCAGGCAGGGCUGUCUGGCAGUGAGAAGCACUGAUAGCAAAAGAUGUGAACACAAAGAAGCAAGUUUCCAGGACAUCCGAAAAGAGGCCAUUCAAGACUGUAAGAGUCAGAUGUCUAAAUAGUCAUAUGUAUUCCCAAGGAUAAUUCAUCCGGUGCCCAGAAUUAAGUGGAAAUAGGUCCUGAAGUCAUUCAGUGUCACCUGAUUAGGUUCCAUGGCUACCAAGUGUCCUCCAACAACAGGAUUCUGUUGUGUUCCAGGCACCUGUAGGAAAUGCAAGUGCAUCACAGCAAGGGCAGUGGCGAUGAUGCCGCCCUGUUCCGUAGGCCAGCUACCUUCAUAAGUGCUUUUACGACAUGUAAUCCCCACAGUCGCUGCCCUUCAAGAGCUCACCAAUACCAGGGACUGCACAAAACAGAGAAGAGCAGAAGAGUCGGGUCAGAGGGUCUGAGUUAGGGUCGUGACUCUGCUACCAUCUUGGGCAUCAACCCCUGCUGUCACCUUGCCCACAUCAGGAAGACCUCAGAGUUCCACCUACCCUACUAUAUCAGGGCCCUGUAUUAUGUUUAUGGUUUUCUGGGAGGCAGAAGAUGACCUUUGCUUUAUGAAAAAGAAACUUCAUGAGGCUCAGGGAAAUGAACUGAAAUGUCCUCAUUGGUAAGUAACAUCAAUACCAUACCUAUACGAUGGGAACUGGCAAAGCCAAAUUUUAACUCA
rnacentral:lncRNA from 12 species